rnacentral:rRNA from 1 species
CACGUAGGCACCAAGCGUUGUCCGGAUUUAUUGGGCGUAAAGAGCUCGUAGGCGGCUCGGUAAGUCGGGUGUGAAAACUCUGGGCUCAACCCAGAGCCGCCACCCGAUACUGCUGUGACUCGAGUGCGGUAGGGGAGCGGGGAAUUCCUGGUGUAGCGGUGAAAUGCGCAGAUAUCAGGAGGAACACCGGUGGCGAAGGCGGAUCUCUGGGCCAUUACUGACGCUGAGGAGCGAAAGCGUGGGGAGCGAACAGG